rnacentral:rRNA from 1 species
UACGAAGGGGGCUAGCGUUGUUCGGAAUUACUGGGCGUAAAGCGCACGUAGGCGGCUUUUUAAGUCGGGGGUGAAAUCCUGGAGCUCAACUCCAGAACUGCCUUCGAUACUGGAAAGCUCGAGUCCGGGAGAGGUGAGUGGAACUGCGAGUGUAGAGGUGAAAUUCGUAGAUAUUCGCAAGAACACCAGUGGCGAAGGCGGCUCACUGGCCCGGUACUGACGCUGAGGUGCGAAAGCGUGGGGAGCAAACAGG